AAACGCCAGGGUAUUACGAGCAAAGCUUAAAACCCAAAGGACUUGACGGUGUCCUAUCCAACUAGAGGAGCCUGUUUUAUAAUCGAUGAUCCCCGAUCUACCUAACCCUAUCUUGCCACUCAGUUUGUAUACCUCCGUCGCAAGCUUACCAUAUGAAUGCUAACAGUAAGCACAAUGGUCUUUCACCAAUACGUCAGGUCAAGGUGCAGCCCAUGAUAGGGUAAAUUAUGGGCUACAAUUUCUAAUAUAGAACAUACGGAAUGCUGCAUGAAACACAGUAUGAAGGCGGAUUUAGUAGUAAAAAGA
rnacentral:rRNA from 1 species